rnacentral:rRNA from 1 species
UGAGGAAUAUUGGGCAAUGCCCGCAAGGGUGACCCAGCAACGCCGCGUGGAGGAUGAAUGUCGUAAGAUUGUAAACUCCUGUUAGAGGGGAAGAAUAGUACCGGUUGGACCGGUAUAUGACUGUACCCUCAGAGAAAGCCCCGGCUAACUACGUGCCAGCAGCCGCGGUAAUACGUAGGGGGCAAGCGUUGUCCGGAUUUACUGGGUGUAAAGGGCGCGCAGGCGGGAUAAAAAGUCAGUGGUGAAAUCCUACAGCUUAACUGUAGAACUGCCUUUGAUACUUUUAUUCUUGAGUUCGGGAGAGAGAGACGGAAUUCCAGGGGUAGUGGUGAAAUACGUAGAUAUCUGGAAGAACACCCGUUGCGAAGGCGGUCUCUUGGUCCGACACUGACGCUGAGGCGCGAAAGCGUGGGGAGCAAACA